CAAUUUUGUUCAAAUUUCAAAGAGGGCGCAAGGCGCUGCGCGUUGACUCCAUAUCCAUAGCACAUGUGAACGAGCUUGGAGCGACACGUGUUACUUCAAAUAAAGGCAAGCUGCCCGUCUCUGUCAGUUGUAACUAAAGCGCGUCAGUUGUAAAGAUGGUUCGUUCGUUCGUUCAAUCGUUUUAUUCAGACGCUCUGCCGCCUUCUCCAUUUUGAGUUCCGCCUAUAAACCUUCCUUUAAAGCGUUCGUUUCCUUCACUUUCCGCCAUUUUCACACGGCUUGCUUUUUCUGUUUCUCUCUCUCUCUCUCUCUGAAGCUGUAAGAAUCGCGAUUGUGAGUUUUCAGGCGAUGGAGGCUGAAAAAGGUCCUACGUAUCUAUCGCUUUCUCCGACUUUUAGCAGCUAUUCUUCAGGUAGUAGUAGCCUCGCUGAAAUUGCGGCCAGAGUCGUUAGGGAAGUUGGAGAAGAACCGUUUGUAGACGAUGAUAAUUACGGCUGGGAGGCUCAGGGUUCGGUUUACCGUUUCCGAGAAAAUUUGUCCAUCGGCCAUGCGCGGGAAUCAGCGGAAGGAGUUACAAUUGAUGACUGUGGUGAAAAUGGCGGUGAUGAUGAUGAAUUCGAGUUUGCUGUCCUUUGCAGGGAACCGGACGCGUCUACGAGCUCUGCUCAUGAGAUCUUCUACAAUGGCCAGAUUAAGCCGGUCUAUCCGGUAUUCAACAGGAACUUACUGCUAGAUAACGCUUCGCGUGUAGACACGGGAUCGGAGAAUCCGAAGACGAAGCCAGCUGUGCGUCGUUCCCCGUUGAGGAAGUUGAUGAACGAAGAGGAGCGUAACACGAUGUCGCUCUCCUCGUCUGAAGCGGACAAUCUUGGAGGCGUUUCAUCAGAAACGUACUGCGUCUGGUCUCCAAACACAGAGAAAACAUCGCCUGGAAGGAGCAAUAAAAGAAUCUCCACAGGAUCAUCCAACAGAUGGAAAUUAAGGGACCUGCUAUACAAUUACAGUCGACGACACAAUGAAGGAGAAGAUGCAGUCAUGAUGAGGAAGACGAGCAUUAAGAAGAAUGAUCAACCUGGAAAUGUAUCGAAGGUAAAUGAAGGUAGUGGAUCAGGCAUAAGUGUAACAUCAUCUACUAGUUCAAAUUCUGGAUCCACAUCCUUUCCUUCGCACACCGCUCGUUACAGAGCGGUGAAAGAAGCGGGAAAGAGGAGGUCCUACUUCUUCCCAUACAGAUAAGUUCGGCUGAUACGAACACAACGAUCUAGAAUUUACAUCCAAUCUCAGAUUUGGAUCUGUUUGUGGUUGAAUUGAUGCAGCGCACAAAUUUUAUUCUGAAAGAACACAAGAUAGCUUAGUUUGCAUUCAGCUUUUAAUUUGGCACGCCGGAGAGCGGACCGGUAAAUUAUCUUCCAAAUGAACUUCAUCAAAUUGAGUACUAACAUCAUUGCGGCGUGAGUAUCAUCUUCCAGAUUGCCUAAAUUUUCAUCUUCCAAUUAGAUUAAAUACAAACUGCUUUUCGAUUAAAUGCCCCCUCCUCGAUUUCAGACAAAAUUUACAGCAUAAUCACAUCUACAUAAUUUUCACACAUAACAGUUGAGAUCACACAAAACAAUUGAAGGUAUGAACACUACAAGCAUGAAUUUACACGAGAUUGUAUAUUUGUUAUUGUUUUUCUUCCUUCACUUUUGAGUGUGUGUAUAUAUCUAUAUAUAGGUCGGCUGAGUGGAGAAUUAGUGAUUCUAUUUUUGGAGAAAUCCUCCUGCUUUCUUCAUCCUGAAAAUGUUCAUAGUUUCCCGUCAUAACGAAUACUAAGUGCAUUAUAUGAACUGAGAAGGAAAUUGCGUACAAGG